GUAUUCCGCUCCAUAGCGUAUAUUAAAGUUGUUGCAGUUAAAAAGCUCGUAGUUGAAUUUCGGGAUCAAUACGUCUGUCGUGCCUUUGGUACGUACGGGUGUAAUUGGUUUCUACCUUCUGAGGAUCCUUGAUGUCAUUAAUUUGGUGUCUUGGGGAAUCAGGACUGUUACCUUGAAAAAAUUAGAGUGUUUAAAGCAGGCAUACGCUUGAAUACAUUAGCAUGGAAUAAUGAAAUAGGACGCUCGAUUCUAUUUUGUUGGUUUCUAGGAUCGACGUAAUGAUUAAUAGGGAUAGUUGGGGGCAUUAGUAUUCAAUUGUCAGAGGUGAAAUUCUUGGAUUUAUUGAAGACUAACUACUGCGAAAGCAUUUGCCAAGGAUGUUUUCAUUAAUCAAGAACGAAAGUUAGGGGAUCGAAGACGAUCAGAUACCGUCGUAGUCUUAACCAUAAACUAUGCCGACUAGGGAUCGGAUGAUGUUAAUUUUUUAAUGACUCAUUCGGCACCUUACGGGAAAC
rnacentral:rRNA from 1 species